rnacentral:rRNA from 1 species
AUUGAACGCUGGCGGCAGGCUUAACACAUGCAAGUCGAGCGGGGGAAGGUAGCUUGCUACCGGACCUAGCGGCGGACGGGUGAGUAAUGCUCAGGAAUCUGCCUAUUAGUGGGGGCCAACAUCUCGAAAGGGAUGCUAAUACCGCAUACGUCCUACGGGGGAAAGCAGGGGAUCUUCGGACCUUGCGCUAAUAGAUGAGCCUAAGUCGGAUUAGCUAGUUGGUGGGGUAAAGGCCUACCAAGGCGACGAUCGGUAGCGGGGCUGAGAGGAUGAUCCGCCACACUGGGACUGAGACACGGACCAGACUCCUACGGGAGGCAGCAGUGGGGAAUAUUGGACAAUGGGGGGAACCCUGAUCCAGCCAUGCCGCGUGUGUGAAGAAGGCCUUAUGGUUGUAAAGCACUUUAAGCGAGGAGGAGGCUACUCUAGUUAAUACCUAGGGAUAGUGGACGUUACUCGCAGAAUAAGCACCGGCUAACUCUGUGCCAGCCGCCGCAGUAA